GACGAACGCUGGCGGCGUGCUUAACACAUGCAAGUCGAACGGAAAGGCCCUGCUUUUGUGGGGUGCUCGAGUGGCGAACGGGUGAGUAACACGUGAGUAACCUGCCCUUGACUUUGGGAUAACUUCAGGAAACUGGGGCUAAUACCGGAUAGGAGCUCCUGCUGCAUGGUGGGGGUUGGAAAGUUUCGGCGGUUGGGGAUGGACUCGCGGCUUAUCAGCUUGUUGGUGGGGUAGUGGCUUACCAAGGCUUUGACGGGUAGCCGGCCUGAGAGGGUGACCGGCCACAUUGGGACUGAGGUACGGCCCAGACUCCUACGGGAGGCAGCAGUGGGGAAUAUUGCACACUGGGCGGAAGCCUGAUGCAGCAACGCCGCGUGCGGGAUGACGGCCUUCGGGUUGUAAACCGCUUUCGCCUGUGACGAAGCGUGAGUGACGGUAAUGGGUAAGGAAGAACCGGCUAACUACGUG
rnacentral:rRNA from 1 species